UGUCUGCUACAUUACAGACGUUUUGAAAAAGAAUAACCACAUACAUACAUUUAUGUAUAGCUUAUGUGUACACGACAAUAUAUUAUCCGCUGAAUAACAGAUUGUUUAGCAAUUAUUUCUCAAAACAAACGUAUCGACCGGAAAUUCAUUGUGUCCAUUGCAUGUGCAUAUACAUAUCGAAAAUAGAUGUACAUAUAUGUGCAUUUUUACCCAAUAGGAGGAACAUCCACGAAAGACAUCAUGUUCAGACUUUACUCUUGGUUUAUCUGCUGCAUCUUUCAACUUUGAGUUUGUAUUGAGCGACAAGAUAACCUAACCACAAAAGAAAAAUAAUUAUUGUAACAAAUCAAUUCAAGAAGUACAUAGCAAGUGUAAUCGCCGAUUACCUUCUAUAGGUAAAUAAACACCUCCAAGAAACGGUAGAAGGGAAAUGAAAGCGCGUUAAAGUAAUAGAAAAUGUGCAAACGCUGCUAAAAUAUUUGGCCUCUUCUAUUAAUUCAGUAUUAUUAUGUACACGUUAACGUCAGCGUGUAUAUAUUUGCUCUUAUAAUGUUAUCAGCAGUAUAUCUAAAAUAGUCAACGCCACAUACGAUAACACGUCGUGACCAAGAACUGCUCAAAAUACGAAAUACUACACUAUCUCUGGUCAAACAUCAGUAUUGUAAAUACAUAAAUAUACACAAAAUGGACGAAGUAUUUUCUUUACAUUUAGGAAAACUCGACAUUUUUGAUGUCUUCUUUCUUGCAGGCAUUUUAUCUUUAGUUAUACUAUUUUCUGUCUAAAAUGGGGCACCAACGACUGGAUGUUUGUUAAAAUUGUAAAAUUUUAUUUCAAUGCAACUAA
rnacentral:lncRNA from 1 species